rnacentral:lncRNA from 1 species
UGGGAACUUUCAUAGUACAAUGUGUUUGGUUCUGCUUUGAAAAGAGCUGAGUCUAUGUACCAUAUAAUAUAUAGACAAUAACUGUUUAGUGUCUUUAAAUAUCAGCUGUAUUUGUACGAGGCUAGGAAACAAGGUGUAUGCGAGCUUUUAGCGAGCUACUACACCUGUUUCGAGCCGAGUACAAAUACAGCUGAUAUUUAAAGACACUAAACAGUUAUUGUCUUUAUCCUGCAAUUAAUUCUGUAUAUUGUUUGUGUUUUGAAAGACACAAAAACUAACAUAUUUAGCAUUUAUUUUCGAUUUGUAAUCCCUUGAGGCCCGCGUAGUAAUAUCAAAAUCACACAUUACGCUGAAGACGGGUUCGCAAAAAAGAAUCUCAAAUGGUCAACAAUAAUACAUCGCUCAAGGUGAAUAAUUAUCUAUUUUAACAUAACAACUAAUUUCAACAGUAAAAACAAAUAACAAAACAUUGUCAAAUUUGAAACAGAAGUGUACGAGUUGUCCUACGCUUCAGACUUGACAUUCACUAAACAUGC